rnacentral:rRNA from 1 species
CCUACGGGUGGCUGCAGUCGAGAAUUUUUCUCAAUGGGGGAAACCCUGAAGGAGCGACGCCGCGUGGAGGAUGAAGGCUUUCGGGUUGUAAACUCCUGUCAUUUGAGAACUAGUAUCAGAAGAGGAAGGGACGGCUAACUCUGUGCCAGCAGCCGCGGUAAUACAGAGGUCCCAAGCGUUGUUCGGAUUCAUUGGGCGUAAAGGGUGCGUAGGUGGCGCGCUAAGUCGGGUGUGAAAUUUCGGAGCUUAACUCCGAAACUGCAUUCGAUACUGGUGUGCUUGAGGACUGGAGAGGAGACUGGAAUUCAUGGUGUAGCAGUGAAAUGCGUAGAGAUCAUGAGGAAGACCAGUGGCGAAGGCGGGUCUCUGGACAGUCCUGACACUGAGGCACGAAGGCCAGGGGAGCAAACGGGAUUAGAUACCCUUGUAGUC